rnacentral:lncRNA from 1 species
GAGAGACACAGAGAGGGAAACACAGGCAGAGGGAGAGGCAGGCUCCCUGCAAGGAGCCCGAGUGGGACUCAAUCCGGUUCCCAGGAUCACGCUCUGAGCCAAAGGCAGACGCUCAACCGCUGAGCCACCCCGGCGUCCCAACCCCUGGCCCUUCUGGGCACCCCUGCCCGCUUCUAGGAUCCCGUGAGGUUUGGGAAAACAAAAUGUCUGGUUCGCAUUCGAGUCACGUUUUUGAAUUCGGGCAGCACACGUGUGCGUUCCGUGUGGUUCAUUUUGCAGGUUAGCUCGAGUGACCUGAGCUGACCUCCGUGCACACACACAAAAUGUCCCAACCGGAGAAGACAGGGUUGGUGCAAUCUGGAGGGCAAAGGGGUGCCACAAAGGCAUGCUUUCCUUUGCCCUUCUUGUGACAUGAACUAUUUAGGGACAUCCUCCUGUGGCUUCUAGACCGAGUAAUGCUUUGCCGCCAAAAUCAUUAUGGUUUCGUUUAUGAGGUUCACAGAAGCUUAGUGAAAAAUUUUGGAUGUCUUUCUAGAGGGCGGCCUGGGCUCCCAUGGCCAGACUCGCAGGAGCCAUGCGCAGGACAGUCACUUCUUCCCUCGGAGCCCUCUCCCUUGCUCCCAGUGGUAGCUGGUUUCACUUUCAAGGUGCGCCGCGGCUCUGGCAGGGCUCACAGCUGCAGUGAAGUGACUGAUGACUCUGUAAAUUAUCCCGAGUGCAAAGGAAAUCUAGCUCAUGUAUAAAAAGCUCUUAGAAUAAUUAUAAACUAAAACUGCAGGUGGGAAACUUUUAUAAGACCAAAACUACUGAAGCACAGACGCUUUUCGGAAAGCCCCGAAUAGUAAGAAAUCCUCAAGUGACUUGUCACUCCAACUUCAAGCGACCCGCCUUUGAGUGUGGCGUUCUCAUGCCUUCACCGUAAGAUCAAUCACAUGUAAGGCCAGACAAAGCCCACACUUCCUUGCGAGGGAUUCUGAGCAAAGGCAGAGGCUGCUGGUGCCUCCGUGAAAGGUCACGGGCAUGAAGCCAGGUUGAGGAAGCCGAUGGCUGUAGCUCUGGGGCUGCCGGCUAAUUCCCUGCCCGGGGCGUUGGCCUGAGCACUGGUCCCCGCAGGAGGUAUGGAACCUGAGAUGGGUUCUGUCUCCAUUUCUAGGUGAUAAAACCCAGGCUUUAGAGAGGUUAGGUAACUUGGCUGGGGUUCUGAAAAAGCCAGAACUCAAGGCAUUUAGUUUUGACCCUUCCGCACUAUUAUAUCUGUGGGAGAACAAAACGACCAGAUGUACACAUUCGGCCCAACCCCGGAAAGGUAUUUACUCAAGGAUGGUCAUCCAGCCCUUCCUGGUCUGCAGGGACACCGCUGGCUAGUUCUGGGGGAAGGAGGGACCCCUGUGCUUUCAACACACCAAAAUCAUGUUCUCCAACAUAACUGUCAAUAAAAAUAGCUGAUGUCAGAGGGGGUCGUUGAUCUUGGCACGGGAGUCUCUCCAGUGUCCUGGCCUGCGGAGAACCCCUUUCCCUUUCUUACUCUGGGAUGGAGUCUGAGAAUCUGGGUCUCCUUCCCACUCUACAAAAGACUCUUGUCCUCUCCCUUCUCUUCCUUCUUUCCUUUGAAGCUUUGAGAGUGCCACUCUGCAGCUGCGGGCCGAUGCAGAAAAGUGAGAAGGGUCUCUGAAUCCCUGGCGGAAAUAUCAAUGGAACUCACAUUGACUUGCAUGAAAUGGUACAUACUGGUGUUCACAGUUACGAGACGGUCAGCUACUAGUCUCAGAGUUGCUCCCAGGGGAGAGUGAAUAAGCUUUCACUGGAUGCCCUGGGGACCUUCCCUGGGACCUGCCUUCUGUCAGUGUCUGAGGUUCAAAUAGCUCUCCCCUGGGCCUGGCCAACAACCUGUUCUCAAGGUAGAAAACACCUUCACGGGGACUCACAUCAACCCAUCCGCUCAGGGUAAACUGGGACAGAGGUUUGAAAGGAUCAAACAACUCAGGUAUAGUUAGCAAAUAACUCUGAUGCUUCUGGACCUUACUGCUAUUGAUCCAACAGAGAAAGACUGAACCCCAUCAGAUAAAUGGAACUUCAUUCUUUGUGGUAGGAAAGAUAUAUUAGAAUUUCACACUAACGAUUUUCGGAAAAAAAUCAAUCACUGAAAACAUAAACAAAGAAUUAAAUUGAGUCGUAUAAAAUCCCCCUGCUCAUCCCUUCCAACGAAGGUGGAUUCUGAAGAUGUCAGGGGUAACCAUCAGUAAAUUUUGGAAUGAGGAAGAAAUAAGUUGGAGCAAAGCAAAGACACCUCCCCAGACAUUUGCCUAGGAAAAGGGACAGAGGUCCAGAGGGUAGGACCCCAAGUUGGAGUGAGGAACAGGGAGACAUGGAGGUGAAGCAGAGUGGACCAGAAGAGAGGUAUGCUGGGAUAGAUGGUAAAAGACAAGGGUGCCUCAGAGAGCAGAGGUGCAGGAGGAGAAAGGUGCCAAGGGAAGUUUUCGAGAGGCUCUGCUAGGCAGGUGUGAUGUCACCUUCUCCAACACAGUAAGGAAAAUGCAGUGAAUGCUCUCUUCUCAGUGCACUCGGCGGGGCUUUGAAUCCAGCUCAGGGUCAAGCCCUAGACUGGA